rnacentral:tRNA from 1 species
UGGCUCAGUGGUAGAGUGCUUGCCUUGCAUGCAUGAGGCCCUGGUUCAAUUCCUGG